GGGGUUGUGGCUCAGUGGUAGAGUGCUCGCUCAGCGUGUGUGAGGCCCUGGGUUCGAUCCUCAGCACCACA
rnacentral:tRNA from 1 species